rnacentral:rRNA from 1 species
CGGACGGGUGAGUAAUGCCUAGGAAUCUGCCUAGUGGUGGGGGAUAACGUUCGGAAACGGACGCUAAUACCGCAUACGUCCUACGGGAGAAAGCGGGGGAUCUUCGGACCUCGCGCCAUUAGAUGAGCCUAGGUCGGAUUAGCUAGUUGGUGAGGUAAUGGCUCACCAAGGCGACGAUCCGUAACUGGUCUGAGAGGAUGAUCAGUCACACUGGAACUGAGACACGGUCCAGACUCCUACGGGAGGCAGCAGUGGGGAAUAUUGGACAAUGGGCGAAAGCCUGAUCCAGCCAUGCCGCGUGUGUGAAGAAGGUCUUCGGAUUGUAAAGCACUUUAAGUUGGGAGGAAGGGUAGUAACCUAAUACGUUGCUACUUUGACGUUACCGACAGAAUAAGCACCGGCUAACUUCGUGCCAGCAGCCGCGGUAAUACGAAGGGUGCAAGCGUUAAUCGGAAUUACUGGGCGUAAAGCGCGCGUAGGUGGUUCAGUAAGUUGGAAGUGAAAUCCCCGGGCUCAACCUGGGAACUGCUUUCAAAACUGCUGAGCUAGAGUACGGUAGAGGGUGGUGGAAUUUCCUGUGUAGCGGUGAAAUGCGUAGAUAUAGGAAGGAACACCAGUGGCGAAGGCGACCACCUGGACUGAUACUGACACUGAGGUGCGAAAGCGUGGGGAGCAAACAGGAUUAGAUACCCUGGUAGUC